AGGUGAAUAUGAUGUUUGUGAUGUUACUCUGAGUAUGCAUCCACACCGAUUCCCACCGUGGAUGCAUACUCAGAGUAACAUCACAAACAUCAUAU